GCGGCGUCGCUAUUGGCUGGAGCCGUGCGGGGGGCGGGGCGAGGGGCCGCGGCGCGCGGCGUGGGCCGGGCCGGGGCAGAGCGAGAAGUUGGCGGCGGCGGCGGGAGCGCAGGUGAGCGGCGGCCGCGCCGGGAGGGAUCCCGCGUUCCGGAGCUGCGGGGCGCCGCCGGCCCCGGGGCCGCACGGGCCAGCCUGUUCCGGGGGUGGGAGCGCGGAGCUGCAGCUCCACGCGCCGCGGAGCCCGGGCACGGCGCGGCUCCCCCCUCCCGCGCCCCAUCCUUCGCGCUGCCCGGUGUCGCCCGUGCUGCAGACGGGCCCCGCCGCCCCCCCGUCACCCUCCAGGAGCAGGUGAGCCACUGACUAACGCACAUUGUGCUCUCGGCGACUCCACUGUGCGUGUGACAGCGGCUAACCUGCUCCUCGGACAUCACUGUGCGGCCGCCUCGCCUCCCCGGACCCGCGCCUCGAAGCCUCGACGCCCUCCUGCCCUCUCGGCCAGCCAGCCCUGCAUUUGGGACUGUGCUCGCUGCUGAGUUAACCCCGGGAGAUGCCGCUGGCAGGAGCAGCUCUGCAGGUUGCCUGGCAAGGCCUGUCCCAGCUCCCAUGAGCAGCACUAUGGUGUGAAUGCUUCCAACUUCCUGCUACCGAUGGACCCAUCCUGUUCAGCUCCAGGCAAGGUAGAAUGCAGUCUGCACUCUGAGAUGGAGAAAGAAAAAUCAUCAUAGGAGAGCAGACAAUGUUCCCUGCAUGGACACACACGCCAGUUCAAACAGCUCUUCUCCAUCUGCAGUGAACUAUGCUGGGAGAAGCUGUGCAGCCAGGAGCAAGCAGCAGAGCAUCUGUACACCACUUGGGGAGCAAAACCAACAGGCAUUUUCUCCUCCAGACAUUCACACCUUUCCUUAUGUAACUGGUGCUGAAGUGUGUGCUUUGAAAGCUGCUUGCCAAAUCCAGGGGCUGGGAGGCAGCACAAAUGCUUCUAGCACUCUAGAUGAAAUUGAGGGGGAAAAAAAACCCAAACCCAAACACCCAGGAACUUGUACAAAUACGUAACUGCAACUUGGGGAUGGUUCAAGUGUCUGCAGCAGUGUUACCCUGAAGAAACUGCACUGGCCUGGAGCAGUGCUGGCACCCAGACCACCAUCUUAUGAGGAUGGUGAGGAGCUCA